UGGGGAAUAUUGGACAAUGGGCGAAAGCCUGAUCCAGCCAUGCCGCGUGUGUGAAGAAGGCCUUUUGGUUGUAAAGCACUUUAAGUGGGGAGGAAAAGCUUGUGGUUAAUACCCAUAAGCCCUGACGUUACCCACAGAAUAAGCACCGGCUAACUCUGUGCCAGCAGCCGCGGUAAUACAGAGGGUGCAAGCGUUAAUCGGAAUUACUGGGCGUAAAGCGCGCGUAGGUGGUUAUUUAAGUCAGAUGUGAAAGCCCCGGGCUUAACCUGGGAACUGCAUCUGAUACUGGAUAACUAGAGUAGGUGAGAGGGGAGUAGAAUUCCAGGUGUAGCGGUGAAAUGCGUAGAGAUCUGGAGGAAUACCGAUGGCGAAGGCAGCUCCCUGGCAUCAUACUGACACUGAGGUGCGAAAGCGUGGGUAGCAAACAGGAUUAGAUACCCUGGUAGUCCACGCCGUAAACGAUGUCUACCAGUCGUUGGGUCUUUUAAAGACUUAGUGACGCAGUUAACGCAAUAAGUAGACCGCCUGGGGAGUACGGCCGCAAGGUU
rnacentral:rRNA from 1 species